AGAGUUUGAUCAUGGCUCAGAAUGAACGUUGGCGGCGUGGAUUAGGCAUGCAAGUCGUACGCUUUAUGUAGCAAUACAUGAAGAGUGGCGAAAGGGAGAGUAAUGCAUGGUUAGCUACCCUCGGGACUGGGAUAGCGGCGGGAAACUGCCGGUAAUACCAGAUGACGUCUUCGGACCAAACGUGUAAACCGGCCCGAGGAGGCGACCAUGUCCUAUCAGCUAGUUGGCGGUGUAAUGGACCACCAAGGCAAAGACGGGUAUGGGGCGUGAGAGCGUGCCCCCACUCACUGGGACUGAGACACUGCCCAGACACCUACGGGUGGCUGCAGUCGAGAAUCUUCGGCAAUGGGCGCAAGCCUGACCGAGCGACGCCGCGUGCGGGAUGAAGGCCUUCGGGUUGUAAACCGCUGUCGUAGGGGAGGAAGGUCUGGUGUAGAGCCAGGCUUGACCGAUCCUAGGAGGAAGGGCCGGCUAAUCUCGUGCCAGCCGCCGCGGUAAUAC
rnacentral:rRNA from 1 species